UCAAGGCGAUGUGUGAACUCGGGAAUCUUGUAAGCAUUUUGGUCACGCAACUUGGCUUUCUUUGGAACUUGAAGCUUGCUUCUGUUCAACUGAAAUCAAAAUUGCCUGUCAUGGAGAUGUGCUUGCAGGCUGUGACUGCGGCUCCACACUGGAACUUUUAGCUACAACCCCCACAAACACUGACUGAGAAUACUGAAUGGGGUGCUGGGGUGAAUAGGGGAAAACUUUGGAUGCUGAGAAAAUGAUGCAAGCUCAGUGACUUCCCAUUCAACUGGAGGGGGUCUGUGGGGAUCAGAAGAAGCAAGGCUUGAGUGAUUUCCAUUUUCCUGAGCUAACGGCCACAAGCUUAUUCCAAUGGACCCUUGUGAUUUGAGAUCGUUUGUGCUAGCCGCAUUUGGAGCUCCAGCAUCCGUGGGAGUUGGAGCGGAAAGAACACUGAAAUGUCUUCUUGCUGGGAGCCGUGAACACCUCUUCUGGAGAAGUGGCAGAGAACAAGGUAGGGGGAGCCUGAGAAAAGCCCCAAAGUGGGGGCCACCAUGGGACACUCUGGACACUCUGUGACCUGGACCAAUUGUCUUUCCUCCCUGGCUUAGGUUUGCUUGUCAAUAGUAAUAACAAUGACAGCAGCAAUCAUAAUUGCUGAAUAUGAAUAGUCCUUCCUCCCUGUCUGCACAAAACCCCUCCUUUGGCUAUGUCAUUAUACAGAACUGUAGCAGGUAUUCACGAUUGUGAUGCAACCAGCCUCGGAGACACCCUGAGAAACGCCGCCUAAUGGAAUCCAUCCCUCGGGACAGAAGCCGCCGGUGUUCCCUGACCGCACCCACUCGCCCCGCAGAGCACCCCCUCCUUGUCAAAGCCGGCGACUCUCCAGGCUUCUGGUGCAGACAAUGUGGUCACCACAUGCACGGCACCCAGCGUGCGGGGAUGCCGGGCAAAUGUUAUUACAGCGAUAACAGUGAUUCUGCUUAGGAUAACAAUGAUGGAAAUCUGUAUUAAAUGACUUGAAACUGCUGAUGCCUUUCCUUUUCCCCAAAGAGAAGAAAGGGAUGCGAAUGUGUCACUUGAACUGGCAGCUGCGGUUCAUCUGGACUCCAUCGUUCCUGCCAUCAUCUUUAUUAGUAGCAUUGUUUUAAAAAAAAUGAGUAAGUUUGAAACCACCAGGUGUUUUGAAUUUUUAUCUUGUUCACUUGCUUACAUGAGGAAAUUCAAAUGGAGACCAAUGCAUUAAUAAAAGCCCAGUGGAAGGAAAGUGCCCCUUCUCUCCCGGGUGGGGGGCUCCCUGCCCUCCCUGACAGGUUCCCCCUAGUUCUGGGUUCUGGCUGCAGUUCCAGCCCCGGCCACCAGGAGUUGAUCUCGGGAGCGUUAUCCGCGCAGCUCCUUCCCAGUCCUCCUCUGAGUCCUCUGUGACUUCAAGCAGCCGCACGCUUCUUUCUCCCUCCCUGUUAAUCCCCACGGAAAGCAGGCUUGGUGUGGCCGCCCCCCAGACUCACAGGCCCUUCCUGGUUAUUUCUGCAGAAUCCACUCUCCCUGUCAGUCUGGGAAAGAAAGGAGAGAGAGAAAAAGAGCUGCAGCGUCAAGGGGACUGCCAGAUCCCGCAGCAAUCCUCCGUGCUCCAGGGUCUCCUGCGGGCGCCUUGCAAUCUCAGCGCCAGCUACUGAACACCUAGAGUAUUGUUCACUGGAGGAUGCCAAGGGAGGCUUCGAGCCUGAAUUAGCCCCGUGAAAGGGGUCUUGCUCCCCGCCUCAUACGCUGAGGUCCAGGGAGCAUAGGCAGCUUCCCCAGGGCGACCACAAGGGCCCACACGCAAUUUGGUGACCCCCUUUCCCUCUGUCGUUUGGCCACCUCAGCUAUUAGAACAGGAUGCCAU
rnacentral:lncRNA from 1 species